AGCUUUGCGCAGUGGCAGUAUUGCAGCCAGUGAGGUUUAUCCCAGGCGCGAUUAUCGCGAACUGAAAACUCUUCCCAAUACCCCGCCAUGACAACUUGCAAUAUAGUCGGCAUUGGCAAUUUUUGACAGUCUCUAUGGAGA
rnacentral:snRNA from 1 species